rnacentral:rRNA from 1 species
GAUUAACGCUGGCGGCGUGCCUAACACAUGCAAGUCGUACGAAGCACUGAGGAGCUUGCUUUUUAGUGCUUAGUGGCGGACGGGUGAGUAAUGUAUGAGCAAUCUGCCUUUAUGUGGGGGAUAACACAGGGAAACUUGUGCUAAUACCGCAUGACAUGGAGGAACCGCAUGGUUUUUUCAUCAAAGGAGCAAUCCGCAUAAAGAUGAGCUCAUAUCCGAUUAGAUAGUUGGUGAGGCAAUGGCUCACCAAGUCUGCGAUCGGUAGCCGGACUGAGAGGUUGAACGGCCACAUUGGAACUGAGAUACGGUCCAGACUCCUACGGGAGGCAGCAGUGGGGAAUAUUGGGCAAUGGGCGAAAGCCUGACCCAGCAACGCCGCGUGAGGGAAGAAGGUCUUCGGAUUGUAAACCUUUGUCUUAUGGGACGAUAAUGACGGUACCAUAGGAGGAAGCCACGACUAACUACGUGCCAGCAGUCGCGGUAAUACGUAGGUGGCGAGCGUUAUCCGGAAUUAUUGGGUGUAAAGGGUGCGUUAGGCGGGAUAUAAAGUCAGAUGUGAAAUACCGUGGCUUAACUGCGGGGCUGCAUUUUGAAACUUUAUGUUCUUGAGUGGAGUAGAGGUAAGCGGAAUUCCGAGUGUAGCGGUGAAAUGCGUAGAUAUUCGGAGGAACACCGGUGGCGAAGGCGGCUUACUGGGCUUCUACUGACGCUGAAGCACGAAAGUGUGGGGAGCAAAACAGGAUUAGAUACCCUGGUAGUCCACACCGUAAACGAUGAUUACUAGGUGUAGGGAGGGAUAACCUUUUCUGUGCCGGAGUUAACACAAUAAGUAAUCCACCUGGGGAGUACGCCGGCAACGGUGAAAACUCAAAGGAAUUGACGGGGGCCCGCACAAGCGGAGGAACAUGUGGUUUAAUUCGAUGAUACGCGAGGAACCUUACCCGGGAUUGAACGUAAGCGGAAUAACGUCAAAAGAUGUUAGCUAGCAAUAGCCACUUACGAGGUGCUGCAUGGUUGUCGUCAGCUCGUGCCGUGAGGUGUCGGCUUAAGUGCCAUAACGAGCGCAACCCUUAUUGCCAGUUACUAACAGGUGAAGCUGAGGACUCUGGCGAGACUGCCGGCGUAAGCUGUGAGGAAGGUGGGGAUGACGUCAAAUCAGCACGGCCCUUACAUCCGGGGCGACACACGUGUUACAAUGGUGGGGACAGCGGGGAGCUACCCGGCGACGGGAUGCCAAUCCUGAAACCCCAUCUCAGUUCGGAUCGGAGUCUGCAACUCGACUCCGUGAAGCUGGAUUCGCUAGUAAUCGCGCAUCAGCCAUGGCGCGGUGAAUACGUUCCCGGGCCUUGUACACACCGCCCGUCAAGCCAUGGAAGCCGGGGGUACCUAAAGUCCGUAACCGCAAGGAUCGGCCUAGGGUAAAACUGGUAACUGGGGCU